rnacentral:rRNA from 1 species
GAUGAACGCUAGCGGCAGGCCUAACACAUGCAAGUCGAGGGAGAAGCCCUUUCGGGGGCAGAAACCGGCGCACGGGUGCGUAACGCGUAUGCAACCUACCUUUCACAGGGGGAUAGCCCGAAGAAAUUUGGAUUAAUACCCCAUAAUAUUAUUGGAUGGCAUCAUUUGAUAAUUAAAACUGCGGUGGUGAAAGAUGGGCAUGCGUCCUAUUAGCUAGUUGGAGUGGUAACGGCACCCCAAGGCUACGAUAGGUAGGGGUCCUGAGAGGGAGAUCCCCCACACUGGUACUGAGACAGGGACCAGACUCCUACGGGAGGCAGCAGUGAGGAAUAUUGGUCAAUGGUCGGAAGACUGAACCAGCCAUGCCGCGUGCAGGAAGAAUGCCUUAUGGGUUGUAAACUGCUUUUAUAUGGGAAGAAUAAGGCGUACGUGUACGUUGAUGACGGUACCAUAUGAAUAAGCAUCGGCUAACUCCGU